AGUUCGCGUGCCAAAAACAAGCCAUGUUAAUUAUUAUUACAGAGUAGAAGUCGAAGUGAACAGACGGAAAGCAGUUUGCUGUAGACAACGUAUCGAUAUCAGCACACAAUAUACUGAUAGAAAGAAAAUAUCCUGAAAUUUUGAUAUUUGCCACACGAGAAAAAAAUACGUUUCCGUGAAUUUAAGAAUCCAGAUUUGUGUACUACGGAUCUUUAAUGGAUAGUUCUUUGUUCAUCCCUUAUUAUUCUCAAUCAUCAGUCAAUUGUACAUGGACUAUCUCAUACAAAAUUUGGAGAUGUACUCCAUUACGAGUUGAAAAUUCCGCACAACUUCAACUGAUUCGGAGGAGCAUAAGAAACAAGUAUAUAAAUGAACAAGGAGAAAUAUUGAAGACAGAAUUUGUUUGCGAAUUAAAUUAAAAAUUCAUU